UUUUAUUUAUAAGAGAAACUAUCACUUUUUACUUAUUUUUUUAUAUAAAUAAAAUCACAUAUUUUAAUAAAUAUUUAUUGCACAUUUUCUAAAUCGCCCCUCAUAAUUUACAUUAAUGAAAAAUAAUUAAUGCAUGCUUAUAUUAAUUAAUUUAGGGCAUUUUAGUGUAAUUUUUUAUUUUCAAAUAUAAUUGUUAUAAUUAAUUAUUUUUUUUUAAAUUGUGUGGUACUGUUUUAUAUAUAUAUACAUAAACGGAGGGAGUGCUUCUUAUUUGAACCAAUUAAUACCACACGCAGUUGCACACACGAACGCGCACACGCCCCAGACUAGGACCAAUUAAUAAAAGGAUAACAGGUGACGUAAAUGCCGUGCUCUCUCACACUGCCCAUAAAACGGCCGCUUGGUUAUUUAAAUGCGACACCAUAAACGUCAACAAUAAAAGAGGAGACCGUUGCUCAAAUCGUAUGCUUUUCACUUGGUCCGCGAGAGCAGAUCUUUCUCUGCAACGGAUCCUAGCAUUGAAUGUCUGCGGACUAUGGUCCCUCAUUCCAACGUUCACAAAGCAGAUCCAAGGAUAAGAGAAGUCACUUUGAACAGCUGAGAUCCUUUACUCCGAGGUUAACUUAAUUCGUCGUCGCCCACUAACCAUUCAUCACGUCACCAUCAGUUUCUGGUGAUUUGUCUCCUUGCUUCUUCCCGGUGUUCGUUAAUAUAACUAAGCCCUGGGGUAAACCAAAUUCACCUAAGCCCAAUAGAGCCCGAUAACACUAGCCCGGUGACCAUCCGACAGAUAUUGAACGCGUUCUCAUUCGGUGCUCAUCAGAGCACCGAGAGCUUAUCGGACAAAACGAUGAGUUUCAAUAAACUCGAGAUUUCGCACCGGACGUAUUCCUCCCCAAAUCGUUUCCGUUCAGAUCGCUCGCCCCAGGCUUCUUCCUCCCCAACUUGAAAGCAUUCAGGGCGUUUGCACUAGACUUGCAACAGCACUAGCAAGACGGCAAAGAGCGUUCAGACCAGAGACUUGUAGUGGUAGCAUUGGCAAGACAGUAACCCUUCAUGAUUUGCGAAUUUUGAAGGUUGAAGAGUGGCAAAUGUGUUGUUCUUGGAAUCACCAGCUGGAGUGGGCUUUUCCUACUCAAACACUUUGUCUGAUUAUGAUCAAGCAGGAGAUAAGUUUACAGCAAGAGAUGCCUAUGUGUUCCUCAUCAAUUGGCUCGAGAGAUUUCCACAAUACAAAUCCAGAGAUUUCUUCAUCACUGGAGAGUGCUACGCUGGUCAUUAUGUGCCUCAACUUGCUUACACCAUUUUGGUCCAACAUAUUUUCCCUAGACAAACCAUUAUCAACCUUAAAGGCAUUACUAUAGGGAAUGCUUGGAUCGAUGAUGAAACAAGUUCAAAGGGAAUAUUUAAUUACUUAUGGACUCAUGCUCUAAUCUCAUAUGAAACCCAUUCAAGUAUUAAUAAUAUAAGUCUUCCUGGUUCGCUUGACACCUCACUCAGAAAUGGUCCGCCUGGUUCUGAACAAUAGACUGACAAAAAACAAAAGGAAGGCUGAAUGGACAUUUACAAACAUAGACUGACAAAAAACAAGAGGAAGGCUGAAAGCUGUCCAAUGAUGGAUGGAGAUUAAUUUACUACUAAAUGCUGGUAGGGGCAGAUGAUUGUUGUCUAAUAAAGCAAAGCAAGUGCCAUCCAACAAAAAGAAUCAUACUAUGAAGUCAUGUGCUCCAAGAGAGGAGAUGAGGGUAUACCAUAAUGUCCAAGAAAAUUGUGUAAUGCUUGUGAAUCCAAAAAAAUGGCCAGCAACCUAUCUUGCAUCUAUUUUAAUGUCCUAUAUGAAGAAGAAAUUGUAGAUAGUUAGGUUUAUGUAAUGUGAUGUCCAUAUGCGAUGAGACAAUUUAUGUAUACAAGUAGCAAAUGUAUAAAAACUUUGAAAUGAAUGAAAGAUUAUUCCAUCUA